rnacentral:rRNA from 1 species
AGUGAACGCUGGCGGUAGGCCUAACACAUGCAAGUCGAACGGCAGCACAGUAAGAGCUUGCUCUUACGGGUGGCGAGUGGCGGACGGGUGAGGAAUACAUCGGAAUCUACUUUUUCGUGGGGGAUAACGUAGGGAAACUUACGCUAAUACCGCAUACGACCUACGGGUGAAAGCAGGGGAUCUUCGGACCUUGCGCGAUUGAAUGAGCCGAUGUCGGAUUAGCUAGUUGGCGGGGUAAAGGCCCACCAAGGCGACGAUCCGUAGCUGGUCUGAGAGGAUGAUCAGACACACUGGAACUGAGACACGGUCCAGACUCCUACGGGAGGCAGCAGUGGGGAAUAUUGGACAAUGGGCGCAAGCCUGAUCCAGCCAUACCGCGUGGAUGAAGAAGGCCGUCGGGUUGUAAAGCCCUUUUGUUGGGAAAGAAAAGCAGCAGGUUAAUACCCCGCUGUUCUGACGGUACCCAAAGAAUAAGCACCGGCUAACUUCGUG